rnacentral:rRNA from 1 species
ACUCCUACGGGAGGCAGCAGUGGGGAAUAUUGCGCAAUGGGCGGAAGCCUGACGCUGCGACGCCGCGUGGGGGAUGACGGCCUUCGGGUUGUAAACCUCUUUCAGCAGGGACGAAGCGCAAGUGACGGUACCUGCAGAAGAAGCGCCGGCUAACUACGUGCCAGCAGCCGCGGUAAUACGUAGGGCGCAAGCGUUGUCCGGAAUUAUUGGGCGUAAAGAGCUCGUAGGCGGUUUGUCGCGUCUGCUGUGAAAACUUCAGGCUCAACCUGGGGCUUGCAGUGGGUACGGGCAGACUAGAGUGCGGUAGGGGUGACUGGAAUUCCUGGUGUAGCGGUGGAAUGCGCAGAUAUCAGGAGGAACACCGAUGGCGAAGGCAGGUCACUGGGCCGCAACUGACGCUGAGGAGCGGAAGCAUGGGGAGCGAACAGGAUUAGAUACCCUGGUAG